rfam:Oryza rufipogon genomic scaffold, chr02
AAAAAGACAAACCCUGAAUUUCCAUAUCCAACUUUGACUGUCUGUCUUAUAUAAAAUUUUUUUAUAAUUCGUAUUUUCAUUGUUGUUAGAUGAUAAAACAUGAUUAAUAUUUUAUGCGUGACUUGUCUUUUUAAUUUUUUUUAUAAUUUUUUAAUAAGACGGACGGUCAAACGUUGGGCACGGAAACCAGGGUUUGUCUUUUU